rnacentral:tRNA from 1 species
GGUGUUAUACUUUAAAUUAAAAGGUCUGAUUUGCAUUCAGUGAAUAAAGAGGUUUUCUUUUGGCGCCA